AUUGAACGCUGGCGGCAGGCCUAACACAUGCAAGUCGAGCGGAUGAAGGGAGCUUGCUCCUGGAUUCAGCGGCGGACGGGUGAGUAAUGCCUAGGAAUCUGCCUGGUAGUGGGGGAUAACGUCCGGAAACGGGCGCUAAUACCGCAUACGUCCUGAGGGAGAAAGUGGGGGAUCUUCGGACCUCACGCUAUCAGAUGAGCCUAGGUCGUAUUAGCUAGUUGUUGGGGUAAAGGCCUACCAAGGCGACGAUCCGUAACUGGUCUGAGAGGAUGAUCAGUCACACUGGAACUGAGACACGGUCCAGACUCCUACGGGAGGCAGCAGUGGGGAAUAUUGGACAAUGGGCGAAAGCCUGAUCCAGCCAUGCCGCGUGUGUGAAGAAGGUCUUCGGAUUGUAAAGCACUUUAAGUUGGGAGGAAGGGCAGUAAGUUAAUACCUUGCUGUUUUGACGUUACCAACAGAAUAAGCACCGGCUAACUUCGUG
rnacentral:rRNA from 1 species